CAUGCAAGUCGAACGAUGAUCCGGUGCUUGCACCGGGGAUUAGUGGCGAACGGGUGAGUAACACGUGAGUAACCUGCCCUUAACUCUGGGAUAAGCCUGGGAAACUGGGUCUAAUACCGGAUAUGACUCCUCAUCGCAUGGUGGGGGGUGGAAAGCUUUUUGUGGUUUUGGAUGGACUCGCGGCCUAUCAGCUUGUUGGUGAGGUAAUGGCUCACCAAGGCGACGACGGGUAGCCGGCCUGAGAGGGUGACCGGCCACACUGGGACUGAGACACGGCCCAGACUCCUACGGGAGGCAGCAGUGGGGAAUAUUGCACAAUGGGCGCAAGCCUGAUGCAGCGACGCCGCGUGAGGGAUGACGGCCUUCGGGUUGUAAACCUCUUUCAGUAGGGAAGAAGCGAAAGUGACGGUACCUGCAGAAGAAGCGCCGGCUAACUACGUGCCAGCAGCCGCGGUAAUACGUAGGGCGCAAGCGUUAUCCGGAAUUAUUGGGCGUAAAGAGCUCGUAGGCGGUUUGUCGCGUCUGCCGUGAAAGUCCGGGGCUCAACUCCGGAUCUGCGGUGGGUACGGGCAGACUAGAGUGAUGUAGGGGAGACUGGAAUUCCUGGUGUAGCGGUGAAAUGCGCAGAUAUCAGGAGGAACACCGAUGGCGAAGGCAGGUCUCUGGGCAUUAACUGACGCUGAGGAGCGAAAGCAUGGGGAGCGAACAGGAUUAGAUACCCUGGUAGUCCAUGCCGUAAACGUUGGGCACUAGGUGUGGGGGACAUUCCACGUUUUCCGCGCCGUAGCUAACGCAUUAAGUGCCCCGCCUGGGGAGUACGGCCGCAAGGCUAAAACUC
rnacentral:rRNA from 1 species